rnacentral:tRNA from 1 species
UGCGGUGUGGCGUAAUGGUAACGCAUCGGACUUUGACUCCGAGACCCCUGGUUCGAUUCCAGGCACCGUAGCCA